GACGUAGGGCGCGAGCGUUGUCCGGAUUUAUUGGGCGUAAAGAGCUCGUAGGCGGCUCGUUGCGUCGGCUGUGAAAACCCGCAGCUCAACUGUGGGCUUGCAGCUGAUACGGGCGGGCUGGGAUUCGGUAGGGGAGACUGGAAUUCCUGGUGUAGCGGUGAAAUGCGCAGAUAUCAGGAGGAACACCGGUGGCGAAGGCGGCAUCCUGGACCGGUAUUGACGCUGAGGCGCGAAAGCCAGGGGAGCAAACGGG
rnacentral:rRNA from 1 species